UGCUGCUACGGCAUUCCCUGUAGUCCACGUUGCUAGGAGAGGAUGAAUUCAGGAGCUGUGGGCUUUCCAGCAUUUCAGCCAGACCCUGUCAACACCUCUUAAAUAACCAGUGGCACUCACAGCCAGGCAGCAGAUUGUCGAUGGAUCUGGAUAAGUCAUAACACAGGCACGCGCAAAGCUGCUUUAAAGACAAUAUUUCAAGGAGAAAACAGCAUAUGGGAAAUGCGAUCCUCUCCAUAAUUAGCAAUUAUUUAGUGAGGUGGCUUUUCCCCCUCAUCUGAUUGAAGAGCCACUCAAAUCAUGUUUUCAUUUCCAGUGCAUCUGGGGGAGGAGCGAAGCAUUCAAAAUACUACUUUAUGAAGAAGAGACAUAAAAUGAGCCCAAACUGGAGAACGUGUGUAGAAAGCAUCGACGUCGACAAACACUGCUAACUCGCACGAUGAGAGCCGUAACACGGACCCAGAUAUGGUUUUUGUUUGUUUGUUUGUUUGCAAAUGCUUACCUGUCACCUGGAAUGACAAUAAAACCUGCAUUUUGAAAUUU